GGCUACAUCACCUUGAAACUACUGUUUCCCGUACGGCCACCGAAGUUAAGCAACCUCGAGCCUGGUCAGUAAAUAAGAUGGGUGACCGCUCGGGAAUACCAAGUUCUG